UGGGGAAUCUUGGACAAUGGGGGCAACCCUGAUCCAGCCAUGCCGCGUGAGUGAUGAAGGCCUUAGGGUCGUAAAGCUCUUUCGCCUGUGAAGAUAAUGACGGUAGCAGGUAAAGAAACCCCGGCUAACUCCGUGCCAGCAGCCGCGGUAAUACGGAGGGGGUUAGCGUUGUUCGGAAUUACUGGGCGUAAAGCGCACGUAGGCGGACCAGAAAGUUGGGGGUGAAAUCCCGGGGGCUCAACCCCGGAACUGCCUCCAAAACUAUUGGUCUAGAGUUCGAGAGAGGUGAGUGGAAUUCCAAGUGUAGAGGUGAAAUUCGUAGAUAUUCGGAGGAACACCAGUGGCGAAGGCGGCUCACUGGCUCGAUACUGACGCUGAGGUGCGAAAGUGU
rnacentral:rRNA from 1 species